CUUUGACAGAACAAAAGACUCUGGUAAGCUCAUGAAACCUAAAGCCUGGUAGCGGGGUAGUGCCCGGAUGGUGUGACGCGAAAUGUAUUGUCUUCGGUCAUGAUCGGUCGCGGUUGAUUUGAACGCCAGUCAGUUGGAGUGUGAACUGCGUAGAAGAUCACCGAAACACUUUCUCCGAUUUCAAACAUAAAAUGCCUUCGAUAUUUCGGUAAUCAAGUCAAAACUGCUGCAGCAGAAGGUAGGGCGAGCGGUGAUGUACCAUGAGGCCGGCCUAUGAUAUGUGGUAGCAAGAAUGGUUGGUGUCAUAUCUAAUUGUGCAAUCAUGGCGGCACACAUCAAACUAGAUGGAUGCUGGUCUUGAAGGCAAACAGAUGAUAGAGUGACCAUGCAUUCCCCGCGACUGACUCGCGGCAUCAUUCCAUCGAUGUAACAAGUCCCCUGUCCUACUUCUCCAACCCACGGGACGAGGCCGCCAUGGAGACGAAAGUUAACUGUGGAUCAAGGGCACUCAUAUAUCAGGAUGAAUACGUGUAACAGUUUUAAAUGCCCUAGGAUAGAGUGUUCCGGAUUGUUCAUUCCGUAUUGUUAGGUUGUACAUGUAUGACAAAGGCAUAUUGCAAGAUCUAAAACCACCCGUUUUAUUUAGUCAAGCAUCCAUCAGUGUGCUAUGGCCGUUUUUACAGGCCAAGUUGUAUUCAUUGUUAUUUUGAAAACGCCUGCCAAAAUUCUGUUGUCUGUUUGUUGUCUGUGUGUUGUCGACAAGAGUCUAUGUUUUAUGAAUAAAAAAGUUGUGUCCUGUA